GUGCUCACUUUGGUAGCACAUAUACUGAAAUCGGAAUUAUACAGAGAUGAUUACCAUGGCCCCCGCAUAAGGAUGAUGCAAAAAAGAGAGACUUAAGGAGGAACC
ensembl:snRNA U6 U6 spliceosomal RNA